rnacentral:rRNA from 1 species
GCAGUAGCCACGGGAAUACGUAGGGUGCGAGCGUUGUCCGGAAUUAUUGGGCGUAAAGAGCUUGUAGGUGGUUUGUCGCGUCUGCUGUGAAAAUCCGAGGCUCAACCUCGGACUUGCAGUGGGUACGGGCAGACUAGAGUGUGGUAGGGGAGACUGGAAUUCCUGGUGUAGCGGUGGAAUGCGCAGAUAUCAGGAGGAACACCGAUGGCGAAGGCAGGUCUCUGGGCCAUUACUGACACUGAGAAGCGAAAGCAUGGGGAGCGAACAGGAUUAGAUACCCCCGUAGUCCCUGUCUCUUAUAC